rnacentral:lncRNA from 1 species
CGCGGAUGGAACACUGAAGCGGACAGGCCAGGCGGGGAGCGAGGCCUGGCGUCGGGUGGGCGGCGGCUGCACUCUUACCUGGCCAGAUGAGGGAACCAAGACCCUGAGAGGUGAAGUCAUUUGCCUUUGAUGACACAGGAAGUCAGCCAGGGGCUGGGAUUCGUGCCCAGGCUCGUCAAGUGAAGCAAUGAGAGUGGAGAAGGAACAAAGCAAUCUGUAACUAGUUGUGAUCAAUUACUUGUAAACACAAUUGUUUUUUUCAUUUUAGUGUGCCAUUUAGUUUUUUUCUAUUUAUUAUUAUUUUUUGAGAUGGAGUCUUGCUCUGUU